UGGGACAUAAGGGAAGAAAGAGCCAGACGAGAUGAUCCGACGCAGGAGCAAAAGCUCGAGUAUUGGGGGAAGAGUGAGGACGGAGACCAAUCAACAAACAACUUAUGUUAAUGAGGGGUCACGUGAAGGGCAAAGGAAGUAG
rnacentral:lncRNA from 12 species